CAAGCUGAGAAACACAAACACGUUCCGAUCUUUUACCGCUAAGAAACACAAACACGUAAAGAAAUCCCUCGUAGUCUUCGGCUCCGCCUUCUUCUCCGACGACUGCGCCUUCUCGUGGAUUCCGCUGCCGCCCUCCGAUCGACGCGCCGCCGCCUCGCCGUCGCCGUCGCCGUCGCCUCGCAGUCGCCGUCGCCGUCGCCGUCGCCACCCCUCGUCUCAACGCCGGAACCCUAGCCGCCGCCGAAUCAAUCGAUCGUCGCCCCGUCGCCGAAAACCCUUCCCCUUCCCCUUCCCAUGUUAAGGGUCGAGCUGAAAUUUUGACGUUUAGGGUUCGAGUUCUGUGGGAGCUGUUGUUCCUGGAGAAUGGACAAGUCUUUGGCCGUGGAGAGACCAGCGACACACUUAAACUCCAUCUCAAGGACAUUGGGUUAGAAUUUUCUUGGCAAAAAUUGCACUUGCAUCUGGAGUUUUAGCUUUCCUCUAGCUCUACACCUGUAUCCAAGGGCUAAUGAUAAUUUGCACCCAGAAUUGGAGGAAGAUGUUCGAGAGGAAUGUGUGAAACUUGGCCUGUGGAUUCCGUAAAGGGAAAAUUUAGAGCUCUAUCGCCGUUUGCCAAGAGUCAAGCACCUCCAGUAGAGGUAACCAGAACCAAUGCUGCCGUUCAUGAUGCAACAUCUGAAGUUUUGAGUGAUGAACAGCUCGCUUUGUUAGUCCACACGUUAUGGGUAUUGGGUGAGCUGAUGGAACUCCUAUGAGAUAUCAAUAUGAAGAUUUGUGUGAAAAAGAUUGAAGGCUUGUGGUUUUGUUGCUGCAGUGUAUGGUAGUAAUUCAAUUCGCAAUUAGGGGGUAGUUGAUGACUAUGGAAACAUGACUGUUGCAUUUACUGUGAGGCCAAACUCAAAGCUUGCAUGUUCUUCUCGAUUGUGGGUCGGGGGUCCUGGGAUACUGAUCUUGAUUGCUGGUUCAUGGAAUAAAUUCUCAGUUAAAUCAGAGUUUAGAACAUUUAAAA